GGUCUUUAAUGAUGUUUAUAACCUACAUUGUUUGAACUACAGUGAUGACAAUUAAUCUCUGAAAAGACC